GACGAACGCUGGCGGCGUGCUUAACACAUGCAAGUCGAACGAAGUGGCGGACGGGUGAGUAACGCGUAAUCAACCUGCCCUUCAGAGGGGGACAACAGUUGGAAACGACUGCUAAUACCGCAUACUGAAGGGGGGGAUUGGGUCUGAUUAGCUAGUUGGAGGGGUAACGGCCAACCAAGGCGGUGAUCAGUAGCCGGUCUGAGGGGAUGAACCGCCACCAUGGUACCGAGACACGGCCCAGACUCCUACGGGAGGCAGCAGUGGGGAAUCUUCCGCAAUGGACGAAAGGCUGACGGAGCAACGCCGCGUGAGUGGUGACGGCCUUCGGGUUGUAAAGCUCUGUUAAUCGGGACGCGGUACCGGAAUAGAAAGCCACGGCUAACUACGUGCCAGCCGCCGCGGUAAUAC
rnacentral:rRNA from 1 species